GUACAGUGAGUCCAGAGGAUCUUCUCCCCCAGACUUCUGACGACUUGCAAUUAAGACGUCUUCGAGAUAACUGGAAUUGUGGCUGUGUUCUUUGUCCUUUUGGGUACGAGUCAAGUGGAGGUUAUAUAAAAUCUUUUGGCUGACAGAAUCGUUUGGUAGGUGGAUCCAGCGGGCCUAUGUUGAUUUACAUUUCUAAAAAAUACAAUGAAACAUAUAUGCGUCAGGUUGAGAUUAGAAUCCGGGCAGCCUACAUAUCUAAUUGGCGAGCCCAUUAUAUAGCUAGGAAUCGGCAUGAGAAUAAAAAGUUUGGGCCUUUGCCAAAAAUAAUUCAUAAUAUCCAUCUAUGAAAAAUAACGAGAAAAAACAACGGGCAUGCAGAAAUUUUUUAUCUUAAUGGAAGCUUUUAGUGUACAAGCCUCUCCUUAAAAGACAAAAAUGAAAAAAAAGAAAAAAAAAGGGAUAAAAAUGCAAUGGAUGAACGAGUAAUAUGUUGGGACCAAGGGUGAGGAUGAGUUGUAUGAUAUUGGGGUAAAAAAAAUGAAGUAUUGAAAAUUUAGUCAUGGCAUAUUUAAUAGUUGUGGUAAGAUAACUUUACGUAAAUAUGAAACAUUUGUCAUACUUGCUCAUUAAAUUCUUUAACAUCAUUUAACUUAAUUAAGAUUUAAAAUGUACAAAAUGUUAUUUUUAAAAGAUCGGUGUAAUUAUUUCUAAUAUAAUCAAUUAAAAAGGUAAAUAUAUUAGACCCUAGUCAUAUGAUAUUAACACAAUUGACUAAAUUAGUUAAACAGUUUGAACAUCCAAAUUUACAUACAAUUAGUUUAUUAAAUACGCUUUAUGAGCAUGAGGAUAAUUAUAUUCAACCCAAAUCGCUAACUUCAUAUUGUGUUUUGAGUCAUAUUAGCAUGUGUUUUGAGUCAUAUUAGCACAUUAACUAUACAAGUUGAGCAUCAAACUCUAAAUAUAACUCAUUUAUUAAACGAGUUGAAAUAGUUAUAACAAAAUCUAAACUGCUAACCUAAGGUUGUUGUUUCAUGUUUGAGUCAUAUUCACAAGUUGUGUCAUAUUUAUUAGCCGUACUUAGGAUUGUGAUCCAUAGGAGAGUUGUAUUAUAGAUGAUCUAAUGGUUAUUCCACUUUGGAUGAGGGAAGAAGUGAGUUCCUUUUAAGAGGCUUGAUACGUUUUAAAGUUAUGAGGGUUCAUUGGACUUAAGUGGACAACAUUUAUAGGGAAUGAGUGCACUGUUAUAAAUGGUAUUACAAUUGAUUCUCGACUUUGACAUGAGACUUUAUUUAUCUAGUCUAUAAGGGAUGUUUGUUUUGUGUCUUCAUGGGGUUGAGUGGACCAUAUUUAAAUUGGAGAUAAUUUUAGGUUUUGCUCAAUUUUAAUUCCAAUUUAUGUAACCCAUUUAUUGCAAAUAGUAUAAAUAGAAGUAGAGAUAAAGAACCUUGUUGGACAUUUAGGAAAUGAUUAAAAACCAUAUGCUACAAAAAGAAGUUCUUAAUCGUUAAGAGGAUAGAUGCCAACAAUAGUUUAGAUUGGGAAAAAAUGUCUUCUAAAAUUGUGUAAAAUAUUGUAUUGGUCUUAUGGCCUCAAAGAGAGGUAAAUACGUACCUUUAAUAGAGUCAUUAGUUAUCUUUCUAAUUAUAAUAGGUUAUGGGUUUGGUGAUAAAUUGUUGAAUUCAUAAGAUUAUGCUAUUCACACUUUAGAGGGUUUUGAAAAAGUCAAAUACGCUAAUAGAUAUUAGCCACUUUUUAAACAUUGCAUAGGAGUAAUUGAUGGAACACAUGAUGGUUGUGGUUCCUAGUUCGAAUCAAAUCCCAUUUAUUUGAAGGAAAUCUGUUUCUUAUAGGACGUAAUAGUCGAUAUGUGAUUUUAACUAGAUGGAAGGGCACAAGUUGCCCGCAAUUCUUUAUUGUCCAAUACUAAAUAUAGGUCAACAUUAAAAGAACUCACAAUUAUACAUAAGAAAAGUAAAAUUAUUUAAAAUGGACAAAGUACUUAUUGAAGUGUUUACAAAAAUUAGAAUAAAAUAUUUAGAGAUGAUAUUUAAUCAAAAUAAAAAUUAGACAUCAUCCUCUAAGUGUCUAAAAUGUAAUCCAAGUGUUAAAAUACUUUAAUAAAUCAUCCAUCACUCCAAAUUAAAUCAAAUUUGUCAUCAUCUUCAAAACAUUCAACAUGGUGGAACAUGAGAGCAUACAAGAUAAAUCUGAAAAAAAAAAAACCUAAUUACAAACUAAAAAGCCAAAAUAUUAAACUAUGUGUCAAUCAAUACCAAAUUAAUUGACAUUAAGAACACUUUACAGAAUAAUUAACAUCGAUAAUAAUAGAGAUACUUGCAAAAUAAAUCCUAAAAAAAUAUCUAGAGACGAAAUUUUACCAUGAAAAAAGGGACAACAUCUACUAUGUGUCUAGAAUACAACUAAAAGGCCAAAUCAUUAAAUUAUGUCUAGUUUAAUAUCAUGUUUAAUCACAAGCACAUUGAUAAGAAAUAGUGUAGAUUUCAAUAGCAAAUCAAAAUAGAUUUAUUUGACUAAUUUAGAAGUAUGAUAAAAUCAAGAAAAAAAAUGUACAAACCCUCAAUAUAUCUACCUUAUAGGAAAAAUAACAACGUGAUUUAAUCACACAAGAAGUUUUAAAACAAGCCAAACAUCCCUUGACUACAAAAUGGGGUUAGUGCAACAUGUGUAGAAUUUUUUUUUUCUCUCCCUUUGGGGGAAUCGGUUUUCAACAAAACAGGGUCCUAAAAUUAAAUUCAAGAAAUUUGAUUAAGGAAAAAAUAUAAAAAAUAAAAAUAAAAAUUUAAGAGGUUAUCAAAUAAUUUAAUUUUGCAAAACGAGUGUGGGUGUCUAGAACAUAGUGAAAAAUGAGCAUAUUGAAAGAUUGGUUUAUAUCUCUUUAAUGGAAAAUGACUUUGGACUUGAGCAAAAUUCUAUCAACACAUUUGGGAAAUUUAAAACGUCAUACAAUGAUAAGAAAAUUUUAGAAAGACUUUAAAUAACUUGAAUCAAAAUUUUCAUUAUAGAAGUUCAACAAUUCAAACAAAACUACAACAAAGUGAACAAUCUAAACAUCACAAUAAAAAAAAAAGACUGAAAAAAAGAUCAAAGGCAAUAAAAAUCAAAUAGAGGAUUUCUUAGCCACCUAUCAUAUAUUAUCAAUAGACCUCAAUCAAGUGAGAAUAAUUUCAAAGAAAAUAAUCCUAAUAUCAAUUUUAAUAAGCAUCAAUCAACAUGAGAUCAAUAAACCAUUCAUCAAUAUAUCAUCAAUAAUCAAAGUGAUCUUUAUUAUCCUCCCUAAAUCAAGAGAAUUCCUAUACCUAAUCAAGAUGUAAGACAAAAAAGAGAUAGAUUGAGAGAUAAUCACAAUCAAGGUAUGCAAGAAAAUAAAAACAUAUCUCUCCUUCAAAGAUACAAGCUUAUUACUCCUUUCUUGUUUUCCUAUGCUGAGUCUCGCCUUCUUGACCUUCAAGACUUCAACUUUUCUUUUCAAGAUGCUCCAUUUUUUCUUCAAGAUCAAUUUGUGGCAACCUUAAGUCCCUCUCUUAAUGGCCGAGCCGUGGGUGUCUCUUUCUUCCUCCAAAAAGCUUUCAAAACUUCACAUUUUCUCCUAUGCAUGUACGAGUCUCCAAAAAUCUGAUUUGUAGUCCCUUUAUGGCGUGAUCUCAUUCCUCCAAGUCUGUAAUGGCAGCCUACCUCUCCUUAAAAUCUUUAAAUGGUCGUGAUAUUUUCCUUAGGCUAAUCUGACACCUGAAUUUUGUUACAAAAUGUAACCUUUUAUUUUAACUUUCCAUAACUUUAAAAAUCAACUUACUUGGACAUCUGUAGCAACAGUUAAGCCCAAAAUACUAAAGCAUGUUCAACAUAUGAUGGGAAAGUUCACCCGAACCUUGUCACAAAAGUUACUCUUUAAUAAAGAUUGAUUUAGGAAAAUUUGUCAACGGAUGAAGUGUAGCCAUUUCCGUUAGCUGUCAUAGCUUAAAAAACCAACUUAUUUGAAUAUUUGUGGCAAAAGUUAUGUCUAAAAUAUUGAAGCUUGUUCAACAUAUGAUGAAAAAGCUCCCCUACUCUCUCUCAAUCUCCUCAAUUUGUGGAUUCCUCCUUAAUGUGGCAGCCGGGUUAUUUUUUCCUCGAAAAUCCCCAACCAUGAGUUCCAAUCAUCAAGAACUCUUAUGGUAGUCCAACCCUCUAAAAAUUCUCUCCUCCAAUGUCAAUUUCCUUCCAAAUCAAAUAUGGUAGCCCAUAUAUAUCUUCUUUCCUUUGGCGUGAAACUUUAUCCUCAGCCAAUAUGGUAGCCCUCUCAAAUAAAAUCUCCAAUCAUGAGUGAUCUUCCUUUCCCUCAAAGUCUCCAAAAUUUUUCCAAUUUGAUCUCUAACUCCCCAAGGUGUGGACUCCUUCCUCCCUUAUCUAAAAUUUCAAUGUUAACCAUACAUAUCACUUCUCAAAUCAAAUUGUCAUGAUCAUAAAGAAUCUUUCCCUCAAUGGCCAAGUCUCCAACCUUUCCUUCUUUCUUCCAAGUGCGUGAAUUUCUCUAUCCAAAAGUUUUAUGGAAAUCCACCUUCCAUCUAAAGUCUCCUAUCUUUCCUAAAAAAGUCUUGUCAAUCUCAAUCUAAAAAGAGUCCUACACUCAAUUCCAACUCAAUAGCCAUGAUGCUAAUGUGUGA
rnacentral:lncRNA from 1 species